rnacentral:rRNA from 1 species
UACGUAGGCAGCGAGCGUUGUUCGGAGUUACUGGGCGUAAAGAGUGCGUAGGCGGUUUCUAAGUUUGGUGUGAAAUCUCCCGGCUCAACUGGGAGGGUGCGCCGAAGACUGGAAGGCUUGAGUAUGGGAGAGGUAAGCGGAAUUCCUGGUGUAGCGGUGAAAUGCGCGAGAUAUCAGGAGGAACACCGGUGGCGAAGGCGGAUCUGCUGGGCCGUUACCUGACGCGUCAGGCGCGAAAGCUAGGGGAGCGAACAGG